rnacentral:rRNA from 1 species
UACGUAGGGUGCGAGCGUUAAUCGGAAUUACUGGGCGUAAAGCGUGCGCAGGCGGUUCGUUAAGUCAGCUGUGAAAGCCCCGGGCUCAACCUGGGAAUUGCGGUUGAAACUGGCGAACUAGAAUCUGGCAGAGGGGGGUGGAAUUCCACGUGUAGCAGUAAAAUGCGUAGAGAUGUGGAGGAACACCGAUGGCGAAGGCAGCCCCCUGGGCUGAGAUUGACGCUCAGGCACGAAAGCGUGGGGAGCAAACAGG